UAAGUAAGCCAGAUAAUCGCAUGUAGUCUUACAUGAGGAAAGUCGGAGCUCCAUAGAGCAGGGUGCUAGGUAACGCCUAGUGGGAGCGAUCCUAAGGAUAGUGCAACAGAAAUAAACCGCCACUUUUAUGUGGUAAGGAUGGAAAGGCGAGGUAAGAGCUCACCAGCAGCUAGGAGACUAGUUGGCUAUGUAAACCCCACCUGGAGCAAGACCAAGAUAGGAAUGAAGAGUGCUGCUCGUACUCUCCGGUAGGUAGGUCGCUUGAGCUUAUUGGUGACAAUAAGCCUAGAAAGAUGAUUAUCUAAUACAGAACUCCGCUUAUAGACUUGCUUAAUUC
rnacentral:RNase_P_RNA from 2 species